rnacentral:rRNA from 1 species
AUACGGAGGAUGCGAGCGUUAUCCGGAUUUAUUGGGUUUAAAGGGAGCGUAGGUGGGAUAUUAAGUCAGCUGUGAAAGUUUGGGGCUCAACCUUAAAAUUGCAGUUGAUACUGGUUUCCUUGAGUACGGUACAGGUGGGCGGAAUUCGUGGUGUAGCGGUGAAAUGCUUAGAUAUCACGAAGAACUCCGGUCGCGAAGGCAGCUCACCGGGCCGGAACUGACACUGAUGCUCGAAAGUGCGGGUAUCAAACAGGAUUAGAUACCCUGGUAGUCCGCACAGUAAACGAUGAAUACUCGCUGUUUGCGAUACACGGUAAGCGGCCAAGCGAAAGCGUUAAGUAUUCCACCUGGGGAGUACGCCGGCAACGGUGAAACUCAAAUGAAUUGACGGGG